GGCAAAAGAAGUGCACCAGAAAGCAUUGUCAAAAGAUGCCUCAGACAACUGUAUUAGGUAUGAUAACCUGUUGAUCAGGUUUUCCCCUGACACAGUGAUGCAUUAAUCUUGUUUGUUUGAUGUAAUUUUUUCCAAUUGUAGGUUUUCUGAAUUUAGGGGAAAUGUUGAGUGACCUCAAACACUUCCCAUUUAAUUCCUUUAUCUGAUCUUCUAUUGUUUUCAAUGUUACUAAACUCUGUAUGUAUAUCUCAAAAGCUCCAGCUCGUCAGCUGGCCACCUCUUCAGCUCUGGCUUCUAUUGCAAGUGGAUUGGGUAAGUAUUGGAAUUAGGAGUUAUCUGAAGAUCAGAAUACAGGAUGUGUCAAAAUUUUGUCCAAAUAUAAUGUCUCAACUAGAAAAAGUAUUGUUGUUUAGUUCUUUAAUUAUCCACAAAUAAUCACACAAUUUUGAAUAGAAUUGUUUUCUUUAAUGCACAAUCAUU
rnacentral:lncRNA from 1 species